rnacentral:tRNA from 1 species
GGGGUCAUAGCAUAAUCCGGCAGUGUGGUCGGCUCCAGACCGAUUGAUGGGGGUUCGAAUCCCUCUGACCCCA